GRCCGUCCGAGUUGUAAUCUGGAGAAGCGUUUUCAGCGCCGGCCCGCGUACAAGUCCCCUGGAACGGGGCGUCGCAGAGGGUGAGAAUCCCGUCUCUGACGCGGUCAYGUCCGGUGCGUUGCGAUGCGCUCUCGAAGAGUCGAGUUGUUUGGGAAUGCAGCUCAAAACGGGUGGUAAAUUCCAUCUAAAGCUAAAUACUGGCGAAAGACCGAUAGCGAACAAGUACCGUGAGGGAAAGAUGAAAAGCACUUUGGAAAGAGAGUCAAACAGUACGUGAAAUUGUUGAAAGGGAAACGCUUGAAGUCAGUCGCGUCUCUCGGGACUCAGUCGCGCCCCCUCAAAGGGUGCGGCGUACUUCCCGAGUCUGGACGGGCCAGCGUCGAUUUCGACCGUCGUACAAAGGCGUGAGGAACGUGGCACCUUCGGGUGUGUUAUAGCCUCGCGUUCCGUAUGCGACGGUGGGGAUCGAGGAUCGCAGCGCGCCUCUAACGGUCGGGGUUCGCCCACGUAACGCGCUUGGGACGCUGGCUUAAUGGCUUCAAGCGACCCGUCUUGAAACACGGACCAAGGAGUCUAACAUGCUCGCGAGUGUUCGGGUGGAAAACCCGCGCGCGUAAUGAAAGUGAAAGGUUGGGACCCUCUUUUUCGAAAGGGGGGCACCGACGCCCGGACUUGAGCUGCUGCGACGGUUCCGAGGCGGAGCGCGUAUGUUGGGACCCGAAAGAUGGUGAACUAUGCCUGAGUAGGGCGAAGCCAGAGGAAACU
rnacentral:rRNA from 1 species